AGUCGAACGCGUUGGCCCAAUUGAUUGAUGGUGCUUGCACCUGAUUGAUUUUGGUCGCCAACGAGUGGCGGACGGGUGAGUAACACGUAGGUAACCUGCCCAGAAGCGGGGGACAACAUUUGGAAACAGAUGCUAAUACCGCAUAACAGCGUUGUUCGCAUGAACAACGCUUAAAAGAUGGCUUCUCGCUAUCACUUCUGGAUGGACCUGCGGUGCAUUAGCUUGUUGGUGGGGUAACGGCCUACCAAGGCGAUGAUGCAUAGCCGAGUUGAGAGACUGAUCGGCCACAAUGGGACUGAGACACGGCCCAUACUCCUACGGGAGGCAGCAGUAGGGAAUCUUCCACAAUGGGCGCAAGCCUGAUGGAGCAACACCGCGUGAGUGAAGAAGGGUUUCGGCUCGUAAAGCUCUGUUGUUAAAGAAGAACACGUAUGAGAGUAACUGUUCAUACGUUGACGGUAUUUAACCAGAAAGUCACGGCUAACUACGUGCCAGCAGCCGCGGUAAUACGUAGGUGGCAAGCGUUAUCCGGAUUUAUUGGGCGUAAAGAGAGUGCAGGCGGUUUUCUAAGUCUGAUGUGAAAGCCUUCGGCUUAACCGGAGAAGUGCAUCGGAAACUGGAUAACUUGAGUGCAGAAGAGGGUAGUGGAACUCCAUGUGUAGCGGUGGAAUGCGUAGAUAUAUGGAAGAACACCAGUGGCGAAGGCGGCUACCUGGUCUGCAACUGACGCUGAGACUCGAAAGCAUGGGUAGCGAACAGGAUUAGAUACCCUGGUAGUCCAUGCCGUAAACGAUGAGUGCUAGGUGUUGGAGGGUUUCCGCCCUUCAGUGCCGGAGCUAACGCAUUAAGCACUCCGCCUGGGGAGUACGACCGCAAGGUUGAAACUCAAAGGAAUUGACGGGGGCCCGCACAAGCGGUGGAGCAUGUGGUUUAAUUCGAAGCUACGCGAAGAACCUUACCAGGUCUUGACAUCUUGCGCCAACCCUAGAGAUAGGGCGUUUCCUUCGGGAACGCAAUGACAGGUGGUGCAUGGUCGUCGUCAGCUCGUGUCGUGAGAUGUUGGGUUAAGUCCCGCAACGAGCGCAACCCUUGUUACUAGUUGCCAGCAUUAAGUUGGGCACUCUAGUGAGACUGCCGGUGACAAACCGGAGGAAGGUGGGGACGACGUCAGAUCAUCAUGCCCCUUAUGACCUGGGCUACACACGUGCUACAAUGGACGGUACAACGAGUCGCGAACUCGCGAGGGCAAGCAAAUCUCUUAAAACCGUUCUCAGUUCGGACUGCAGGCUGCAACUCGCCUGCACGAAGUCGGAAUCGCUAGUAAUCGCGGAUCAGCAUGCCGCGGUGAAUACGUUCCCGGGCCUUGUACACACCGCCCGUCACACCAUGAGAGUUUGUAACACCCAAAGUCGGUGGGGUAACCUUUUAGGAGCCAGCCGCUAAG
rnacentral:rRNA from 1 species